rnacentral:rRNA from 1 species
CCCUUAGAUGUCCUGGGCUGCACGCGCGCUACACUGAUGUGUCCAGUAAGCACCUAACCUCUUCCGAAAGGAACGGGUAACCUUUGCAAAGCACAUCGUGAUGGGGAUAGAUUAUUGCAAUUAUUAGUCUUGAACGAGGAAUUCCUAGUAAGCACAAGUCAUCAGCUUGUGUUGAUUACGUCCCUGCCCUUUGUACACACCGCCCGUCGCUCCUACCGAUUGAAUGUUCCGGUGAGCUCUUCGGACUGCGCGGUCUGCAGUUUCUGCGUUCCGUGCGGAAAGUUGCGCAAACCUUAACAUUUAGAGGAAGGAGAAGACGUAACA